UACGGAGGGUGCAAGCGUUAUCCGGAUUUAUUGGGUUUAAAGGGUGCGUAGGUGGAAUGAUAAGUCAGUGGUGAAAUCCUGCAGCUUAACUGUAGAACUGCCAUUGAUACUGUUGUUCUUGAGUGCAGAUGAGGUAGGCGGAAUGAGUAGUGUAGCGGUGAAAUGCUUAGAUAUUACUCAGAACACCGAUUGCGAAGGCAGCUUACUAAACUGUAACUGACACUGAUGCACGAAAGCGUGGGGAUCGAACAGGAUUAGAUACCCUGGUAGUCCACGCCGUAAACGAUGCUCACUCGCUGUUUGCGAUACACAGCAAGCGGCUUAGCGAAAGUGAUAAGUGAGCCACCUGGGGAGUACGAUCGCAAGGUUGAA
rnacentral:rRNA from 1 species